rnacentral:rRNA from 1 species
GAUGAACGCUGGCGGCGUGCCUAAUACAUGCAAGUCGAGCGAACAGACGAGGAGCUUGCUCCUCUGACGUUAGCGGCGGACGGGUGAGUAACACGUGGAUAAUCUACCUAUAAGACUGGGAUAACUUCGGGAAACCGGAGCUAAUACCGGAUAACAUGUUGAACCGCAUGGUUCAACAGUGAAAGACGGUCUUGCUGUCACUUAUAGAUGGAUCCGCGCCGCAUUAGCUAGUUGGUAAGGUAACGGCUUACCAAGGCAACGAUGCGUAGCCGACCUGAGAGGGUGAUCGGCCACACUGGAACUGAGACACGGUCCAGACUCCUACGGGAGGCAGCAGUAGGGAAUCUUCCGCAAUGGGCGAAAGCCUGACGGAGCAACGCCGCGUGAGUGAAGAAGGUCUUCGGAUCGUAAAACUCUGUUAUUAGGGAAGAACAAAUGUGUAAGUAACUAUGCACGUCUUGACGGUACCUAAUCAGAAAGCCACGGCUAACUACGUG